ACAAAAUCGCCGUCUCCAAGCAGACGUGGCGCUCCCGUUACUGUGUGUAGGAGCUGCCUUUGCUUUUGGAGUACUACCUGCCUUUGCCAGCCCUCCCUGGCCACAGAAAAUCUAGGGAGAGCCCUGUGACAGUGGUCCCUGAGGGAAGGGAAGACCUGGAAACCUUAGGCAAUAAUGAAUAUUAGCAGAUAUUAAUAGAGGGUUAUUCCAAGUUUUUCCUCUUGUGUUUGGUCCCAUAAAUGUGCUGACGAGAGAGGCUGGGCCCAAUCAUUUCUUUAAGGAUGCGGAGAGCCCUCACUGUGAACGUUGCAGUGGCAGGUGUGCGGGUUUUGUGUGGCCCCAGGGGCGGGCAUCAGAGUGAGGUGGGGCCCCAGCUCCAUGGGACAGGCACCAGGUGUCAUGAUAAUGGGGUGGGAGUCAGCGCUCUGCAACCAGCUGCAGGUACAAGGCUUUCCUGGCAAGGCCACGUGUCUGCUCUGCAUUUGAACUUACAGUUGACGCGGUCCCCUGCUCUUCAGUGCUUUCUCAAAUCAGCGAUCAACAGGAAAGACUGGUGUCGGCUUGUGGUUCAGGGGUUAAGAACCCGACAUGGUGUCCUUGAGGAGGCAGAUUCGAUCCCUGGCCUCGCUUAGUGGGUUCAGGAUGUGGUGUUGCUACAGACUGUGGCAUAGGUCACAGAUGUGGCUCGGAUCUGGCGUUGCUGUGGCUGUGGUGCAGGCUGGCUACUGCCGCUCUGAUUCGACCCCUAGCCCAGGAACAUCCAUGUGCGGCUUAAGAAGAAAAAAAAUCGUCACACUUAUUUCUCAUGUGUUUCUCCUUUUCCAGCCACACCAGUCACUUGUCAGUAUCCUAGGGAGACUCUGAGAAGGGCAGGUGCAGCCCGGCAGGUUACAGCCGUCCCCUGUUGGGCAGUGGGUUCUGACCCUUAGUGUCUGCAGAAGAGGUGUCCACAGCAGCCCAGGGCCAGGAACUUCCUGGCCACACACUUCCUGGCUUCUCAGAGGAAGACCUUGCAGACUGUGGGGCCGCAGAUCGCGCGGGACAGUGAAAUUCACGCAGGUCUCGGUUGUCUGUCGCGCAAGGCUGCAGACCUUCAACCUGGAUGAUUGAGGUUGAAAAUCUGGCUUACGUACCACGGCCUAGGCGAGACCAGAUUCUCUCGUCGUUCAGGUAGAAAGAGCUGAAGUUUGUAGUUGGCUGCAAAGUCAGCAGUCUGAGAGCUACGCGUCGCUCUGUCCGACCCACUCAUUCUGGUUUGCUGUGUGACCAUCAAGCCAAAACUGGGAGCAGUUGCCGGAGGCCACAAUUCAGGGCUUGGGGUGAGAGGCUCUGUUUUUGAGGCAGAAGCUGACUGAGCAUCAGAAAGUUUACACAUGGACUUGCAUCUGGGUGGAAGGUUUACCAUCCAACCCCAAGACCCUGUGGUUUUGCCCUGGAAAUAAGAGAGCACUCGGCUGGGCCCAGGCGUGACCCCUCCUUCACCUCAGCGAGUCUUGGCUCCCCCCCUGCUCUUCCAGUGUCCACGGCCUCUGCGGAAGUGAUUGGUAUCUUGUUCUCUGUGUGUGUGGUGACCGUUGUGGUGCCCUGUUCAAGGGUCCCUUGGGAAAACGGUGUCAUUCCCUUUCUGAGGCUUUCAGAGGGACGUCUCAGAGACAGGCGGGCAGCUCCUGUGCCGAUGCUCUAAGGCUUCGUCCUGAGGGAGAAGGAAGAGGCAGCCACCUCUGCCCAGGGCAGCGUGGUGUCGUGGUCACAGGGAGGCCUCGGCCUCAGUGGUUCUUAGCCUUGCCUCUCAGGAAGCACACGUCUAACAGCCAGCAAGGGUGCCUGGGGCCACGACGAACAGGGGCUGCAACCCCAAACCAACCCACUGAGAUGGAACGCACGGCUAACAAGGGCUGGCCAGGGUGUGGAGAUGCCGGAAGCUCUCCUGCUGCUGGCAGGAAGGUCACACGGCUGUAGCGGCCGGUCCCUCGGGCAGUGAAGCGGAGACCCGGUGCCUCUGCUCCCAGAUCCGCAGGAGCGGAUGGCGGAGAUUCAGGCAAAAACCUGUACAGGGGUUCAUGGCGGCUCUGGGCUCAGAGCCCAAAGAAGCCAGGCCCCCAAGCCACGUGUUGUCCAAUUGCGUUUUUGGGCAGCAGUCAGGAAAGCGGAUCUGUCUGCAGCGUCAGGAAGCAGACGUGAGGUGGCCAGGGCCAGGGGAGGUGGGGGGCGGUGGCUGCUAAAUGGGUACAGGGCUCCCUUUUAGGGGAUGAGACAUUCUGGAACUAGCUGGUGAUGAGGGCGGAACGACCUUGGGAUGCAUGUCACACCACUGAAGCGUACACUUUAAAAGGGUCAAUUUUAUGUUACAUGUGUUUUGACGUCAUAAUUUGGUUUUUUUUUUUGUUGUUGUUGGGUUUUUUUUUGGUUUUUAUUUUAUUUUAUUUUAUUUUCCCACUGUACAGCAAGGGGAUCAAGUUAUCCUUACAUGUAUACAUUACAAUUACAUUUUUCCCCCACCCUUUGUUCUGUAUACACAAUGGAAUACUAUUCAGCCAUAAAAAAGAAUGACAUAAUGCCAUUUGCAGCAACAUGGAUGGAACUAGAGAAUCUCAUAUUGAGUGAAAUGAGCCAUAAUUUGUUAAAAAGAAAAACAGCCGAUGCCUGGUCCCAUCACGGAGCUUCUGCUGAAGCUGGUCUUGCUUGUGGCCCAGGCUUUCCCAUCUAGGAAAGCUCUAGGGGUGGGUUCUGAUGUGCAGCCGCGUUCCAGAACGUCUGCGCCAUUGCCGGGCCACCCACUCUGCCCCUCACUGGUGUGCGGCUCAGGGACGGUCACUUUCUGGGCCUCCGCCUCCUCCCUCUGAAAGGGGUCCAGGUGAUGACAAGUCGGCUGUCACGCAGGUAAAGUGGGGAGGUGUGAGGAAACUUCAUGCCCCACGGGGUCUCUGGCUUCGGCUGGGCCUGGGGUGGGACAGGACACUCUUCAAAAUGCUGCUGCCCCAGUGCUUUCCAGGUGGGCCUUUUCCCUGGGCUACGUGAAAAUGAAUUUUGUGGUCACACUUCUCCAGCACGAUGGGUGGCACAGGGUGACGGAUGUCUUUGCAAGUGAGAGCGGGGGUGUUUGGACCAGGCUGGGCGGUUUAACUGUAGCCAUGCUUCCUGCUUCUCAAAAACCCUCCUGCUUUUCCUGAAGAUAAAUUUGCUGGAAGAGAAAUCCAGUCGGCUUGAUUUCCUCCCCAGUGGCCCCUGUGACCUGCCUGAAGUCCCCGAGUAGCCCUUCCUGGUCAGAUGCAAAUAUUGGAAAUAAUCUGACUUCUUUGAGAGAGACCGGUUCUCAUUUGAGUUUUGUUUCUAUAUGGGGAUGAGGCGUCUUUUGAGUCGGCCCUCAGACCCAGCCAGUGGCAGAUGACAGCCGGGCCCCCCUGUCCUUUCCCCCUCCAGCCAGAGGAUCAGGCAGCCCCAGGAGCCAUUAGCCUUCGAGGUCCCCAGGGUUUAGAGGGACCCACUUUGUUGACGGCUGCACCCACUGCAGAUGGAAGUUCCCAGCCAGGAUCCUCUCACCCCCAGCACCAGCCCGGGGAUGGAGCUGGAGCCUCCGCAGCAAUUCGGGUCGCUGCGGUCGGAUUCUUAACCCACCACCCCAGAGCGGGAGCUGCUGGAGAAACACAUUUAUCUCAAGUGUGGCCACGCAGGAAAUCUCACGCCUGAUGAGUUUUUGUAAAAACCACAAUCACAGGUCAGUCGUCAAAGCCCACUGCUGUGUAAACUUGAGGACAUUGUGUACGUGUGAAAGGGAAACCUUUGUUUUGAGGGUUUUAUUGUUGGUGUGAAUUAGAACCUUCUCCCUCCCUAAUUGUGCCUAAGUGAGUUUGCUUCUGUUGAAAUCUCACAUAGGACCACGGCGAACCGUCUCACACACACACACACACACACCCAGGUUGUGCACUUCGGGUGUUUUCCUUAGCUCUCUGCCCAUCCGGCCCCCUCAUUCUUGUGGUCCCCAGCCUCUCUGCCCCUCCCUCACGCCAGCCCCCAACGUCCCUCCUGCUGUCCCCUCCUCCAUCUCGCUGUCCAGGCCACCUGCCCCGAGGGGCCCAGCGCACUCUCCAUCUUUGAAUUAAUGGGGGCGUCUUUCCUUUCCCUUCACAAGCUUUUCAGAAAUUCCUGCCUCUCUAAAGGGUCCUGAUGAACGUCACCAAUUACGGAUGACCAGCAAAUUCCAAACGUGUUUGCUAGUAGGUUUGGGUUUUGAGAGGGUCCUACAGCAGAGGCUGCAGAGUGUCCUCCACCUGCAGUGCCCUCGCUGCGUCUGGUUCGAGUCCCGGGCUCCCCGUGAGCUGAAAGGAGAAAUCCCAGCAGGAGAGACACAAUCCGAAAUCGUUCUGAUGCUUAUAACCAUCCAAGAGCUUGUGUGGCACAGUAUUUUCUUGGCCACACAGCUUCUCCCGCUCGUCUUCCAGAGAAACACCAUCCCUCCGGCGUUCCCACGGAGGGGCCUGGCCCAGGAAUGGUCAUUUCCCACUCACAUCGCAUAGGAACGACCUGAUUCCCAAGCUCCGUGUCUCGGCCCGUCACGGAGAUUCAUCCUUACGAAGCUGGCGCGCUUCGUGCCACUCGACUUGCCCUUCACUCUGAAUCGAUGCCAGAUGUCCAGGCAGACAGAAGACAGCUCGCCGUCGGGGCACGGAUGCAGCAAGGGCACGCCCAUCAGGAAGGCUGCGUCUGAGGAUAAGGACCAGCAGGCAGGGCGCGCCAUCCUGGGAAGGGAACUCGGCCUGACCCUGCAUCCAGGACGGGGCCGGCAGCCACGGCGUGGGAAGUGAAGCUCUCUGCUUUCACACCCGAGGAUGCCAGGAGCUUUGAUAGCCCUGGGCUGCUCUGCCCAGCGGAUCCUGUCGGUGUGGGCAGGACAGCGGAGUCUCUGCCUGGCUGGCUUCGGGUGUAUGUUCUGCCUUGAGUCCCUGCCCAACCCGUGUCCAAGGGGAAGGCGAGUGGGGAACAGGUCUGACUGCAGCUUCACUCCCACCUGGCUCUUUGACAAGGAAGAAAGAAAGAGACAGU
rnacentral:lncRNA from 1 species